rnacentral:rRNA from 1 species
AGAGUUUGAUCCUGGCUCAGAACGAACGCUGGCGGCGUGCCUAACACAUGAAAGUCGAGCGCGAAUGGAGUAAUCCUAGUAGAGCGGCGCACGGGUGAGUAUCACGUGGAUAAUCUGCCUGGGAGAUUGGGAUAACCUGCCGAAAGGCAAGCUAAUACCAGAUAAGCCCACGGGGACUUCGGUCCCUGAGGGAAAAGGUG